AGCCGCAAUUAGUGCUAAGGUAGCAUAAUCACUUGUUCUUUAAAUAAGGACUAGAACAAAAGAUUUAACAUCUUAAUAAAUUUCUUUAAUUUUUAAAUUAAAUUUAUCUUAAAUGUAAAAAGACAAUUAUUAUAUAGAAAGACGACAAGACCCUAUCGAACUUUACUUUAGUUAAACUGGGGCAGUUAAUUAAUUAUAAUUUUAAUUCAAAUUUAAUAUAAAAUAUCCAAUUAUUUUUGAUAAAUUAGUUACCAUAGGGAUAACAGUGCAAUUAUUAUUUAGAGACCUUAUCUAAAAAAUAGAUUACAACCUCGAUGUUGAAUUAAUAACCUUUUUCUUAAAGCAACAUUUAUAAAAGGAAGUCUGUUCGACUUUUAAAAAAUUACAUGAUUUGAGUUCAGACCGGUAUAAGCCAGGUCGGUUUCUAUCUUCUUCGAAAAUUUUUACAGUACGAAAGGACCUAAAAAUACAAAUUAAUUUAAAAUGUUAUUGGCAGAUAAAUGCAUUAGAAUUAGAAUCUAAUAAUAAUAA
rnacentral:rRNA from 1 species